UGGGGAAUAUUGCACAAUGGGCGCAAGCCUGAUGCAGCCAUGCCGCGUGUGUGAAGAAGGCCUUCGGGUUGUAAAGCACUUUCAGCGAGGAGGAAGGCGUUAAGGUUAAUAACCUUGGCGAUUGACGUUACUCGCAGAAGAAGCACCGGCUAACUCCGUGCCAGCAGCCGCGGUAAUACGGAGGGUGCAAGCGUUAAUCGGAAUUACUGGGCGUAAAGCGCACGCAGGCGGUUUGUUAAGUCAGAUGUGAAAUCCCCGAGCUUAACUUGGGAACUGCAUUUGAAACUGGCAAGCUAGAGUCUUGUAGAGGGGGGUAGAAUUCCAGGUGUAGCGGUGAAAUGCGUAGAGAUCUGGAGGAAUACCGGUGGCGAAGGCGGCCCCCCUGGACAAAGACUGACGCUCAGGUGCGAAAG
rnacentral:rRNA from 1 species